UAACCUCUGCUUAUUUUGUCUUUGCUGCAUAAUUUAAAAGAGCAACAAACCACACCAGAUGAUUAUGAUGAUGCGAUCACACCUGAACUGAGACAUUCUGCUACAGAUGGAUUAUCAGAAAACUAUGAUGAUGUCGUCAUUGUACAACAGUUCUCCAAUAAUAUUCAAGCAGACUAUGAUGAUGUGGGCGAGCAGCCAGGACAACAUGGAGGAACUGUGUAACUGAAAGCAAAUACUGUCUUAAAUACUUUUACAGAUUUAAAAAGAUAGAGUUUAAGUGGCUCUAUGUACUAUAUGCUUUAUCUGCAAUCACCAAUAUUUUAUAUUAAAUGUACAAAUAUAUAAAAAUUUUAUAUUUUUAC